GCCCGGGUAGCUCAAUCGGUAGAGCGUGUGGCUCUUAUGAAAUCGUUCAUUAGAACACCUCAAGGUCGUGGGUUCGAGCCCCACCUCGGGCU